rnacentral:lncRNA from 1 species
GCUGAGUUUGCGUACAACAACAGCUAUCAAACACGCAUCCAGAUGGCUCCGUUUGAGGCGUUGUAUGGACGCAGAUGUUGAUCCCCUUUGUUUUGGAGUGAUGUGGGUGAGAGGAAGACACUAGGGCCUGAGAUCUUACUAGAGGCUGAGGAAAAGGUGAGAGUUGUUCGACGACACCUUUUGACAGCCCAGAGCCGCUAGAGAAGCUACGCCGAUACCCGGAGACGAGACUUAGAGUUUCAGGUUGGAGAUCAUGUAUUCCUCAAAGUCUCACCGUCCAGAGGGAUUCGCCAAUUUGGAGUACAUGGAAAGCUCAGUCCACGUUUCAUUGGCCCUUUUGAAAUAUUAGAGCGAGUUGGACCGGUUGCCUACAGGAUUGCUCUACCUCCACGGCUAGCAGACAUUCACGAUGUGUUCCAUGUCUCGGCUUUGAGGAGAUAUAUUUUCGAUCCUUCGCAAGUGAUCGACUUCACUCCACUAGAAAUUGGCGAGGAUCUGAGAUACGAGGAGAGAUUGUCACGCCCCGAAACCGAUACCAAUUUGGUCCAGUUCGGGCGCGUCAAACAGACGCCGAACGGACAGCACCUCCCCUGUCCGCCCAAGGCCAACAGCGAGAUCAUGUACAACAAGUUCCCAGGAAAUCACUUGAAUACAUACAUGAUCACUCAACAACUACGAGGGGAGCACAAUCAGUGCUAAACAACUA